rnacentral:rRNA from 1 species
AGAAGAGUGGCGAACGGGUGAGUAACACGUGGGUAACCUGCCCAUCAGAAGGGGAUAACACUUGGAAACAGGUGCUAAUACCGUAUAACAAUCGAAACCGCAUGGUUUUGAUUUGAAAGGCGCUUUCGGGUGUCGCUGAUGGAUGGACCCGCGGUGCAUUAGCUAGUUGGUGAGGUAACGGCUCACCAAGGCYACGAUGCAUAGCCGACCUGAGAGGGUGAUCGGCCACAUUGGGACUGAGACACGGCCCAAACUCCUACGGGAGGCAGCAGUAGGGAAUCUUCGGCAAUGGACGAAAGUCUGACCGAGCAACGCCGCGUGAGUGAAGAAGGUUUUCGGAUCGUAAAACUCUGUUGUUAGAGAAGAACAAGGAUGAGAGUAACUGUUCAUCCCUUGACGGUAUCUAACCAGAAAGCCACGGCUAACUACGUGCCAGCAGCCGCGGUAAUACGUAGGUGGCAAGCGUUGUCCGGAUUUAUUGGGCGUAAAGCGAGCGCAGGCGGUUUCUUAAGUCUGAUGUGAAAGCCCCCGGCUCAACCGGGGAGGGUCAUUGGAAACUGGGAGACUUGAGUGCAGAAGAGGAGAGUGGAAUUCCAUGUGUAGCGGUGAAAUGCGUAGAUAUAUGGAGGAACACCAGUGGCGAGGCGGCUCUCUGGUCUGUAACUGACGCUGAGGCUCGAAAGCGUGGGGAGCAAACAGGAUUAGAUACCCUGGUAGUCCACGCCGUAAACGAUGAGUGCUAAGUGUUGGAGGGUUUCCGCCCUUCAGUGCUGCAGCUAACGCAUUAAGCACUCCGCCUGGGGAGUACGACCGCAAGGUUGAAACUCAAAGGAAUUGACGGGGGCCCGCACAAGCGGUGGAGCAUGUGGUUUAAUUCGAAGCAACGCGAAGAACCUUACCAGGUCUUGACAUCCUUUGACCACUCUAGAGAUAGAGCUUCCCCUUCGGGGGCAAAGUGACAGGUGGUGCAUGGUUGUCGUCAGCUCGUGUCGUGAGAUGUUGGGUUAAGUCCCGCAACGAGCGCAACCCUUAUUGUUAGUUGCCAUCAUUCAGUUGGGCACUCUAGCAAGACUGCCGGUGACAAACCGGAGGAAGGUGGGGAUGACGUCAAAUCAUCAUGCCCCUUAUGACCUGGGCUACACACGUGCUACAAUGGGAAGUACAACGAGUCGCGAAGUCGCGAGGCUAAGCUAAUCUCUUAAAGCUUCUCUCAGUUCGGAUUGUAGGCUGCAACUCGCCUACAUGAAGCCGGAAUCGCUAGUAAUCGCGGAUCAGCACGCCGCGGUGAAUACGUUCCCGGGCCUUGUACACACCGCCCGUCACACCACGAGAGUU